rnacentral:rRNA from 1 species
GUGCCAGCAGCCGCGGUAAUACGGAGGGUGCGAGCGUUGUUCGGAAUUAUUGGGCGUAAAGCGCGUGCAGGCGGUCGAGUAAGUCAGAUGUGAAAGCCUUUCGCUUAACGGAAGAAGUGCAUUUGAAACUGCUCGGCUGGAGUACGGGAGAGGAGAGUGGAAUUCCCGGUGUAGAGGUGAAAUUCGUAGAUAUCGGGAGGAACACCAGUGGCGAAGGCGGCUCUCUGGUCCGAUACUGACGCUGAGACGCGAAAGCGUGGGGAGCAAACAGGAUUAGAUACCCUGGUAGUCCACGCCGUAAACGAUGGGCACUAGGUGUAGGAGGUAUUGACCCCUUCUGUGCCGGAGCUAACGCAUUAAGUGCCCCGCCUGGGGAGUACGGCCGCAAGGCUAAAACUCAAAUGAAUUGACGGGG